AUUGAACGCUGGCGGCAGGCCUAACACAUGCAAGUCGAGCGGAUGACGGGAGCUUGCUCCUUGAUUCAGCGGCGGACGGGUGAGUAAUGCCUAGGAAUCUGCCUGGUAGUGGGGGACGACGUUUCGAAAGGAACGCUAAUACCGCAUACGUCCUACGGGAGAAAGCAGGGGACCUUCGGGCCUUGCGCUAUCAGAUGAGCCUAGGUCGGAUUAGCUAGUAGGUGAGGUAAUGGCUCACCUAGGCGACGAUCCGUAACUGGUCUGAGAGGAUGAUCAGUCACACUGGAACUGAGACACGGUCCAGACUCCUACGGGAGGCAGCAGUAGGGAAUAUUGGACAAUGGGCGAAAGCCUGAUCCAGCCAUGCCGCGUGUGUGAAGAAGGUCUUCGGAUUGUAAAGCACUUUAAGUUGGGAGGAAGGGCAGUAAGCUAAUACCUUGCUGUUUUGACGUUACCGACAGAAUAAGCACCGGCUAACUCUGUGCCAGCCGCCGCAGUAAUAC
rnacentral:rRNA from 1 species